rnacentral:rRNA from 1 species
ACCUCAAAUCGGGUGAGACUACCCGCUGAACUUAAGC